rnacentral:rRNA from 1 species
AACGUACGUUAGCGGUGCGCCUAACACAUGCAAGUCGCACGAGAAAGGGCUUCGGCCCCGGUAAAGUGGCGCACGGGUGAGUAACACGUGGGUAACCUGCCCUCGAGCGGGGGAUAACAUUCCGAAAGGAGUGCUAAUACCGCAUAAGACCACAACCUCGAAAGAGGAUGGGGUAAAAGCUGGCCUCUAUACAUAAGCUAGCACUUGAGGAUGGGCCCGCGGCGCAUCAGGUAGUUGGUGAGGUAACGGCUCACCAAGCCUAAGACGCGUAGCUGGUCUGAGAGGAUGAUCAGCCAAACUGGAACUGAGACACGGUCCAGACUCCUACGGGAGGCAGCAGUGGGGAAUCUUGCGCAAUGGGCGAAAGCCUGACGCAGCGACGCCGCGUGAGUGAUGAAGGCCUUCGGGUUGUAAAGCUCUGUGGGGAGAGACGAAUAAGUGCCGCCUAAUACGUUGCAUGAUGACGGUAUCUCCUUAGCAAGCACCGGCUAACUCUGUGCCAGCCGCCGCAGUAAAAC